rnacentral:rRNA from 1 species
UACGGAGGGUGCAAGCGUUAAUCGGAAUUACUGGGCGUAAAGCGCGCGUAGGCGGGUUUACAAGUCAGAAGUGAAAUCCCCGGGCUCAACCUGGGAAUAGCUUUUGAUACUGUGGACCUUGAGUUCGGGAGAGGGUGGCGGAAUUCCAGGUGUAGGAGUGAAAUCCGUAGAUAUCUGGAGGAACAUCAGUGGCGAAGGCGGCCACCUGGCCCGAUACUGACGCUGAGGUGCGAAAGCGUGGGUAGCAAACAGG